rnacentral:RNase_P_RNA from 2 species
AAGACGGAUCGGGCAAUCGCGGUGCGCUUGCGCAUCGAGGAAGGUCCGGACUCCACAGGGCGCGGUAGCGGCUAACGGCCGUCCGGGCGUACGGCAGGGUUUCCUGUCGUGCGGCCGAGGAACAGGGCCACAGAGACGAGUCUGCGGAGCGGGCGCGGGCAACCGCGCACAGGCACGGCGACUUCCGUGCCGCGCGUCCCACACGGGACGCGGCGUCGCAGGGUGAAACGCGGCAACCUCUACCGGGAGCAACAUCAAAUAGGCAUGCGCAGGGUCUUCGGACCCGGAAGGGCGGCUCGCCCGAGCAUGCGGGUAGAUGGCUAGAUCCGGCCAGUAAUGGCCGGGCCAGAGGAAUGAUUGCCCGCCGGGGCGACCCGGCGUACAGAAUCCGGCCUAUAGAUCCGUCUUGCCC